rnacentral:rRNA from 1 species
AGCGAACGCUGGCGGCAGGCCUAACACAUGCAAGUCGAACGAACUCUUCGGAGUUAGUGGCGGACGGGUGAGUAACACGUGGGAACGUGCCUUUAGGUUCGGAAUAACUCAGGGAAACUUGUGCUAAUACCGAAUGUGCCCUUCGGGGGAAAGAUUUAUCGCCUUUAGAGCGGCCCGCGUCUGAUUAGCUAGUUGGUGAGGUAAAGGCUCACCAAGGCGACGAUCAGUAGCUGGUCUGAGAGGAUGAUCAGCCACAUUGGGACUGAGACACGGCCCAAACUCCUACGGGAGGCAGCAGUGGGGAAUCUUGCGCAAUGGGCGAAAGCCUGACGCAGCCAUGCCGCGUGAAUGAUGAAGGCCUUAGGAUUGUAAAAUUCCUUCACCGGGGACGAUAAUGACGGUACCCGGAGAAGAAGCCCCGGCUAACUUCGUG